CUGUCCAGGGCUGUCUUUGUGAAGAGUCACAAAAUUUAUUAGGUUGAGACACAUAAUGGAUAUACCAUUAGGAGUUGAUAGUUUAAACUCUAAGUCAUCCUUGCAUCAAGGGUCAAAGACAUGAAUUAUAUGAUAACUGUAUCUAAGUAGAUUCUUGAGUGUUGCUUUACAUACAUUUGACCUAUCCAGACGUCGGGUACCAUUACUAGAUGGUUACUCCGAUUGGUGUAAAAAUCUAUUCCUAUGCUACCGACUUAGGUUCGAACCUACAAAGUCACACACAUUAGAUGUUCCUCUCUGAUCAAUUGGC
rnacentral:lncRNA from 1 species